UGGGGAGUAGCGUAACGGCUAGCGCUGUGGUCUCUAAAACCAUAGGAGUGGGUUCGAUUCCCACCUCCCCCG
rnacentral:tRNA from 1 species